CUCGCCGUAGUUCAAUGGAUAGAACGAGCGCCUCCUAAGCGCUAGAUACAGGUUCGAUUCCUGUCGGCGGGACCA
rnacentral:tRNA from 58 species